rfam:Sphingopyxis sp. RIFCSPHIGHO2_12_FTLL_65_19 rifcsphigho2_12_scaffold_2361, whole genome shotgun sequence.
GCGGACGUGGCGAAAUCGGUAGACGCAGCAGACUUAAAAUCUGCCGGCCUAGUGUCAUGCGGGUUCAAGUCCCGCCGUCCGCA